rnacentral:tRNA from 1 species
GGGCGCGUGGCUGAGCAGCAAAGGCGUUUGACUGUAAAUCAAAUGAGGUUUCCUCUUCGCAGGUGCAAGUCCUGCCGCGCCCACCA